rnacentral:ribozyme from 13 species
GGAUCUGCGUUGCGCCAUUCACCAGAAAAGUCAAAUCCAGAAUUUUGAUUUUCUUCUCGUUUUUCUUGUAAUUCCGAUUCAGAAGUAAAACAACGAU